CCCCAAAGUCUAGUGUUCUGCGCCCAAUCACUCUGCCUAAUUUCCUACUGUUGCUCAGUAUCUCGAAGGCACUCCAGAGAGGGAAGCAGGAGUUGUAAUGAAAAAAUUAUCGUUCUCAUCCAUUAAAAACACGUGACCGUCAGCAGUACAAAAUUUGCACAAAAAAACUGAUUAGAUAUAUAGAGUGGAGAACAGAGGGAAAAAAAGACAUUACCACAUUCCUAAAGGAGUUGAACAUGUUUCUAAAUCAACGUUUUAUCAAGAUCUAUCAAAGUAUCUGUUUAGA